ACCAGUGUGGCCUAGUGGUUUGAGUGUUUGACUCCAGCUUUGAAGACCAGGGUUUGAUUCCCAGCUCCGCCA